rnacentral:tRNA from 1 species
GCCCGGGUGGCGAAACUGGUAGACGCAAGGGACUUAAAAUCCCUCGAGAGCAAUCUCGUGCCGGUUCGACUCCGGCCC